GCGGGGAUAGAGCAGGUUUGGUAGCUCGCAAGGCUCAUAACCUUGAGGUCAUGAGUUCAAACUCCCAUUCCCGCA
rnacentral:tRNA from 1 species